GGCGUAAAGCGCAUGCAGGUGGUUGAUUAAGUCAGAUGUGAAAGCCCGGGGCUCAACCUCGGAACCUGC
rnacentral:rRNA from 1 species